rnacentral:rRNA from 1 species
UACGUAGGUGGCAAGCGUUGUCCGGAAUUACUGGGUGUAAAGGGCGCGUAGACGGGUUUGUCAGUCAGAUGUGAAAUACCGGGGCUCAACUCCGGGGCUGCAUUUGAAACUACAGAUCUUGAGUGCAGGAGAGGGAAGCGGAAUUCCUAGUGUAGCGGUGAAAUGCGUAGAUAUUAGGAGGAACACCAGUGGCGAAGGCGGCUUUCUGGACUGUAACUGACGUUGAGGCGCGAAAGCGUGGGUAGCAAAC